CUAGCCGUAAACGAUGGAUACUAGGCGUUGUGAGUAUCGACCCUCACAGUGUCGUAGCUAACGCGUUAAGUAUCCCGCCUGGGGAGUACGCGCGCAAGCGUGAAACUCAAAGGAAUUGACGGGGGCCCGCACAAGCGGUGGAGUAUGUGGUUUAAUUCGAUGCAACGCGAAGAACCUUACCAGGACUUGACAUGUCGCAAAUCUCAGGGAAACUUGAGAGUGCCUUCGGGAGCGCGAACACAGGUGGUGC
rnacentral:rRNA from 1 species